rnacentral:rRNA from 1 species
UGCAAGUCAAGGGGGCCCGGUAGCAAUACUGGGCAACCGGCGAACGGGUGCGUAACACGUGAGCAGCCUUCCGAGAUAUGGGGGAUAGCCGGCCUAACGGCCGAGUAAUACCGCAUACGCUCUCGAUGAGGCAUUUCAUUGAGAGGAAACCUCCGGGGUAUUUCGAGGGGCUCGCGGCCUAUCAGCUAGUUGGCGAGGUAACGGCUCACCAAGGCAACGACGGGUAGCUGGUCUGAGAGGAUGGCCAGCCACAUUGGGACUGAGAUACGGCCCAGACUCCUACGGGAGGCAGCAGUGGGGAAUCUUGCGCAAUGGCCUAACGGCUGACGCAGCGACGCCGCGUGUGGGAUGAAGCUCUUCGGAGUGUAAACCACUGUUGCCCGGGACGAAUAGCUCGAUUUCUCGAGCCUGACAGUACCGGGUGAGGAAGCACCGGCUAACUCCGUGCCAGCAGCCGCGGUAAUACGGGGGGUGCGAGCGUUGUCCGGAAUCACUGGGCGUAAAGGGCGCGUAGGUGGUUUGAUAAGGGUGUGGUGAAAGUCCGGGGCUCAACCCCGGAUCUGCCGUGCCGACUGUCAAACUCGAGGACUGUAGAGGCAGACGGAAUUCCGGGUGUAGCGGUGGAAUGCGUAGAGAUCCGGAGGAAGACCGGUGGCGAAGGCGGUCUGCUGGGCAGUUUCUGACACUGAGGCGCGACAGCGUGGGGAGCAAACAGGAUUAGAUACCCUGGUAGUCCACGCCGUAAACGAUGGGUACU